rnacentral:rRNA from 1 species
GGAAUUUUGGACAAUGGGCGCAAGCCUGAUCCAGCAAUGCCGCGUGAGUGAAGAAGGCCUUCGGGUUGUAAAGCUCUUUUGUCAGGGAAGAAACGGUGUUUUCUAAUACAGAGCGCUAAUGACGGUACCUGAAGAAUAAGCACCGGCUAACUACGUGCCAGCAGCCGCGGUAAUACGUAGGGUGCAAGCGUUAAUCGGAAUUACUGGGCGUAAAGCGUGCGCAGGCGGUUUUGUAAGACUGUCGUGAAAUCCCCGGGCUCAACCUGGGAAUGGCGAUGGUGACUGCAAGGCUAGAGUUUGGCAGAGGGGGGUAGAAUUCCACGUGUAGCAGUGAAAUGCGUAGAUAUGUGGAGGAACACCGAUGGCGAAGGCAGCCCCCUGGGUCAAAACUGACGCUCAUGCACGAAAGCGUGGGGAGCAAACAGGAUUAGAUACCCUUG